rfam:Parcubacteria bacterium C7867-003 C7867_00369, whole genome shotgun sequence.
GCGCCUGUAGCUCAGCUGGUUAGAGCACAGAGCUUAUACCUCUGGGGUCCCUGGUUCGAGUCCAGGCAGGCGCA